GAUUGGGCUAUAGAGGUCAUCUGGCCAGAGAUCAGUGCUCCUAUGUUCAUAUCCACGCGAGAGACUAGGCCAAAGAUCAUCCUAGCUCUAUCCACUGUCAAGUCAGAAGUGUGUGAUGUGGGGGCCAAGUUGGAGUAUGAGAGGACACUCCACACCUGAGCUAGUGUAGUCAAAUCCUUCCUGAGAAUCUUCCCUGGAUGGCCCUCAAAGUUCAAGAUGAACCCUC
rnacentral:lncRNA from 1 species